rnacentral:rRNA from 1 species
UACGGGGGGGGCAAGCGUUGUUCGGAAUUACUGGGCGUAAAGGGCUCGUAGGUGGCCAACUAAGUCAGACGUGAAAUCCCUCGGCUUAACCGGGGAACUGCGUCUGAUACUGGAUGGCUUGAGUUUGGGAGAGGGAUGCGGAAUUCCAGGUGUAGCGGUGAAAUGCGCAGAUAUCAGGAGGAACACCGGUGGCGAAGGCGGGUCUCUGGGCCGUAACUGACGCUGAGGAGCGAAAGCAUGGGGAGCGAACAGG